rnacentral:rRNA from 1 species
GAUGAACGCUGGCGGCGUGCCUAAUACAUGCAAGUCGAGCGAACAGACGAGGAGCUUGCUCCUCUGACGUUAGCGGCGGACGGGUGAGUAACACGUGGAUAACCUACCUAUAAGACUGGGAUAACUUCGGGAAACCGGAGCUAAUACCGGAUAAUAUAUUGAACCGCAUGGUUCAAUAGUGAAAGACGGUUUUGCUGUCACUUAUAGAUGGAUCCGCGCCGCAUUAGCUAGUUGGUAAGGUAACGGCUUACCAAGGCAACGAUGCGUAGCCGACCUGAGAGGGUGAUCGGCCACACUGGAACUGCGACACGGUCCAGACUCCUACGGGAGGCAGCAGUAGGGAAUCUUCCGCAAUGGGCGAAAGCUUGACGGAGCAACGCCGCGUGAGUGAUGAAGGUCUUCGGAUCGUAAAACUCUGUUAUUAGGGAAGAACAAAUGUGUAAGUAACUAUGCACGUCUUGACGGUACCUAAUCAGAAAGCCACGGCUAACUACGUG